GAUGUGGGGCCAGUGUUCGGCUACCUGCGGUGGUGGCAACCGCCAAAGGAGCCGCCACAUCCUAACCCCCUCGGCGAACCACGGCAGGUCCUGUGGGAAGCAGGC
rnacentral:SRP_RNA from 1 species